GAAAAAUGCUGGCAGAGCUGGUACAUGCACUUUGGAUUACAGAGGAGAAAAAGAGAGGAGAGGAAAGAAAAAGAGAUUAUUUUUUAAGGAGCAACAGGAACUGAAGGAGGAGCAGGAGCGGCUGGAGAUGCGACAGGAGUAGCAGGACCUGCCGGACGAGCAUGAGCAGCAUUCUUCACCUGAUGGAAGAGACAGGAGCAGCAGCCAUCAUUAAUAAAUGCAACAUCAUAUCAAAAUAAUAAAAUCAAUCAGUGUCAUUCAUAAA